CCCGAGGAAGUUGUCCUACCUUGGAUUUGCGUAGAAAGCUUUCUUGAAAGCUAGGAUUCCUGAUGAGGGCCCCAAUCCUUGCUGUGACAGGGUUCUCUGCACCUUGGACACCGUUUGUUUUCCAAUCGUCGCUGAUGUGGCCCAUCGCCUUCCUUUUUCUUUUUUGCCUAGAAUUUUUCCUCCGCUCUCAGUGAGGCUAUGGGAGUUUGGUUCCCGUAGGUGAAGUUGGGGC
rnacentral:lncRNA from 1 species